UACGUAGGGGGCAAGCGUUGUCCGGAAUCAUUGGGCGUAAAGAGCGUGUAGGCGGCUCGAUAAGUCCGCUGUGAAAGUCCAGGGCUCAACCCUGGAAGGCCGGUGGAAACUGUCGGGCUAGAGUCCGGAAGAGGCGAGUGGAAUUCCCGGUGUAGCGGUGAAAUGCGCAGAUAUCGGGAGGAACACCGAUGGCGAAGGCAGCUCGCUGGGACGGUACUGACGCUGAGACGCGAAAGCGUGGGGAGCAAACAGG
rnacentral:rRNA from 1 species